UGUUAACGUGUCGUAUACGUGAUUUUGAUACUUUUUAAUUGUAACGUAUUUGACAAGAUUGAGCUGAGCAUUGGGUGAAAAUAACUUCCAGAGCAUCCGAGAAGCUUGUAGCAUCAGUAAGAAUGAAUUUCAAGUGCUGUCUGCUGCUGUUAUCGCUGCUGCUAGUCGGCGCUAGCGCUAAACCGCGCGCAGAACCGCCUUGCUGGACGUGGCCCGACGAGCCACUACCUCCCUGCGCCCAAGAUUUAAGCUGAUGUGGCAAAAUCUACUGUAAUCGACUGCUCGC
rnacentral:sRNA from 1 species